rnacentral:tRNA from 1 species
GAGAAUGUAGCUCAGUCGGUAGAGCAACUGACUUUUAAUCCGUAGGUCAUGGGUUCAAGUCCCAUCAUUCUCA